UGUCCAGGGAUGGGAAACGAACCCACGACCUUCCGCUUACCGGGCAGAUGCCAUGUCCACUAGGCUACCC
rnacentral:tRNA from 1 species